CGCUGGCGGCACGCUUAACACAUGCAAGUCAAGGGGAAAGGGCUUCGGCCUGAGUACACUGGCGCACGGGUGAGUAACGCGUGAGGAAUCUGCCCAUAAGACUGGGAUAACACACCGAAAGGUGUGCUAAUACUGGAUGUGUUCCAUAGGCGCAUGCUUAUGGAGUAAAGGCGGGGUAACCUGUCGCUUAUGGAUGACCUCGCGUCCGAUUAGCUAGUUGGUGGGGUAACGGCCUACCAAGGCUACGAUCGGUAGCCGGCCUGAGAGGGUGGCCGGCCACACUGGAACUGAGACACGGUCCAGA
rnacentral:rRNA from 1 species